CGGAUUGUAGGCNGAAACUCGCCUACAUGAAGCUGGAGUUACUAGUAAUCGCAGAUCAGAAUGCUGCGGUGAAUGCGUUCCCGGGUCUUGUACACACCGCCCGUCACACCACGGAAGUUGGGGGCGCCCGAAGCCACUUAGCUAACCCUUUUGGGAAGCGAGUGUCGAAGGUGAAAUCAAUAACUGGGGUGAAGUCGUAACAAGGUACC
rnacentral:rRNA from 1 species